GACGAACCGUCCUAACGUUAUCCGGAUUUACUGGGUUUAAAGGGUGCGUAGGUGGGUAGGUAAGUCAGUGGUGAAAUCUUCGAGCUUAACUCGGAAACUGCCAUUGAUACUAUUUAUCUUGAAUACUCUGGAGGUAAGCGGAAUAUGUCAUGUAGCGGUGAAAUGCUUAGAUAUGACAUAGAACACCAAUUGCGAAGGCAGCUUACUACAUAGUUAUUGACACUGAGGCACGAAAGCGUGGGGAUCAAACAGG
rnacentral:rRNA from 1 species